GUGGUCUCGACGGCCCCUCACUCGGAGCAGCUGGCCCGCCCGCAAGCCCCGGGCAGUGAGGGGCUCAGCACCUGGGCCAGCAGCUGCGGAGGGUGCGCCGGGUCCCCCAGCAGUGCUGGCCCACUGGCGCUGCGCUCGAUUUCUCGCCGGGCCUUAGCUGCCUCCCCCGGGGGCAGAGCUCCGGAUAUGCAGCCUGCCAUGCCUGAGUCUCCCCACCCCGGCCGUGGGCUCCUGCGCCGCCUGAGUCUUCCCGAGGAGCGCCGCGCCCUGCUCCGCGGCACCCGGUCCCAUCCACCGCCCAAUGGCUGAGGAGUGCCGGCGCACGGCGCGCGACUGGCAGGAGUCCAAGAGAUAACAGAGGAUCAUAGCUCAAAGAGCUGCAAGGAGCCCAAUACCCUUUGAGAAGCAGUACGAAGAGACGGGGUUUCACCGUUUUAGCCAGGAUGGUCUCGAUUUCCUGACCUCGUGACCCGCCCGCCUCGGCCUCCCAAAGUGCUGGGAUUACAGGCAUGAGCCACCGCGCCCGGCCUACUGCACUGUUUUACGUGCUACAGAUGUAUCAAGCAAUUUAACCCCAAUUCCUACUGUGCUUAAAAUAAAUAAGACGUGCCUAUAGGUAAGUACAAUGUAUAAUGUAAUGUGACAGGAAUGAAGAAAGAUAUGCAAAAUGCAAUGAAAAUUCAGAAGGAGGAAAAAGUACAGUUGGAGAGAUCAGGAUAGUCCUGGUUGAGGAAGCAGCAUUUACGGCACACAGGAAAUAAUAGAAUUCUGACAUGCCAAGCAAGGUAAGGAAAAGGAGGGCAUUUCUAGCAAAAGAAAUGCCUUGGAUAUGGUAGAAGGACACUACCUAAGAUUGGAGGGCAGUGAAAAGGUCUGGAAUUCUAGAUUAAGAUAUGUGGGAUGAAGAAAGAUGGAGUAGAGAGGCAGAGAAAGAAUUGGGAAAGAAAAGGAGUAGACAUUAAUGAGACCCUACUCUCAUCAGGUACUGUGAUUUAAGCUUUACUUACAUCAUUUUAGUGCUACAAUGUUUCCAUGUUAAAUAUUCUAAGUCCAAGACACAUGGCCCACCCAGUUACUUAAUGGUAGAAAUGGUGACAUAGCUAACAAACGGUGGUGACGAGACUAAAACUGAAUGUUUGUGCCCAUCCUAUUGCCUUAAAUUGUGCUAUGCUACCUUCAAAUGCCAUAUAUUUUCUUAAUUACAUGAAGCCUAAAUAAACCUACAAACCUUCUUUCUCAAGCUUUUCCCUCUUAAUCUGAAUCCACCAAUGCUCAGAAAUCUCUGGACAUCUUUUGGUUUUCACCAUCAUGAUGUAUGCAUUUAUGUAUACACCUCAACCGUCUCUCCCCAUCCCACUUCCUAUAAUGUGGUAAGUUUCUUGACAGCCAAGACAGUAUCUUCAUCAUCUCUGCAGCUUCAAUGCCUGGAACAGAGUAAGUGCUUCAAAAUAUUCAUCAGUUAGACAAAACUGAAUCCAAGCAGGAUUACUGAGACUAGAAUUUCCAUCUUUUCAAAAAUUGUUGUCAAUCUGCCUUUCUUUCAAAGUAUUUGUAAAAAUUGAGGAAAUGCCUUUAUUCCCUUCUUGGCUCCAUGAAUGUUUCUACUGGGUCCUGGUUUAGUAGAGGCCCUCAAUUAUAAAGAAAACUUGCUGAUAGCAUGUUGCAUAUGGGAGUGAGGGUGUUAAGUUUGCUUUAAUGUUGUGCUUAAAAUUGGAUUGAUUUUUGUACUAAUAGUGUAAUUUCCAGGUAUUUGUUUUAAUAACAAACGGUACUUGAAAUGACUGCUAUUCAGCAGUAAGUUUAUAGCUAAUUAGAGGAGCUUCUCACUGAUGCACGUUAAUGAGUGGGAGAGCUAUUACUGAUCAGAGUGUGAAAGUUUCAAGGAUACCAUCAUAAAAUGUAGUUUGCUUAGUUCUGUAAAUAUAUGUUGUUUACUUUAUUUACAACGGCACAUAGAUUACUCAAGUGCAUAAUACGCUGGUAUAUUAGGUGAAAUAAAAUCUCACUAACGUGAGCUCACCAAAGUGCUCUGUUAUUAAACUUUUAUUAAGGACUGAGAUAAAACAAUUCUCUUUGGAGUAGGAAUUAGAGUGCCUGCUGAUAAUCACUGAAGUGAAGGAGGAAGAGACAAUAAGAGAGACAGCCACGUUCUCAAGGAAACGCCAUUGUGCUCUGACCUUGCCCUUACCAUUCCCAGGGGACUUCAGGUCACUUCACAUAAAUGGAUAACAGAGCAGCUAAAUGUCCUGGAGUGAGUGCCCCAGUGUGUGAAGAUACAAAGGCCACUCCUGGGAUGGGUAUCUCAAUGUAGGGUUUGUUGUUAGGACAGAAAGCAGCCUCAGAGCCAGAGUGCCAACUAUAGCCUUCCACAAUGUGAUGUGAGAUUAAAAGAAAGACACAUAGUCCCCAGCUUCCGAGGGGCUGGCAGUGAGGUAGACAGACAGUGAACAAUGGCGAAGGCAGGCAUGCUGAGGAGGAGCUCAAACUGGACUGUCUACUUAGAGGGGAGCUGAAACCUGGGAAGGUGAAAGGAAAGAGAUUAUUUUUUAAUAACCAAAAUACAUAGCCAUGGCAUUAGCCAAAACAAAGAGAGGAAAUUCCAAUGAAGUAAUUGUUUUCACUCCAGUGGUUCAUUUUCUUUUUGACUGGGAGUGAUCUGGCUGAAUCAAUUAGGUGUUUCAGCUUUGAGCAAACAUGAAGAUAUGUUCAAAUUUCUUAAUCAAAUAUCCAAAGCCAGGUGCGGUGGCUCACACCUGUAAUCCCAGCACUUCGGGAGGCCAAGGUGGGCGGAUCACCUGAGGUCAGGAGUUAGAGACUAGCCUGGCCAGCAUGGUGAAACCCCGUCUCUACUAAAAGUACAAAAAUUAGCUGGGCGUGGUGGCCGGCGCCUGUAAUCCCCAUCUACUCAGGAGGCUGAGGCAUGAAAAUAGCUUGAACUCUGGAGGCGGAGGUUGCAGUGAGCCGAGAUCGUGCCACUGUACUCCAGCCUGGGCGACAAGAGCGAGACUCCAUCUCAAAAAAAUAAAAAUAAAAAUAAAAUAAAAUAUCCAAAUGAAAACUUUCACACAAGUAGAAAGUUUAUUUUUUAUGACAUCUUCGUAUUUAUUUCUUACAUAUCAUAUGUGAAAAGCAGCUCCUUUGCUGAAAAUCUAGUCCAUCCAAGAAUGCAUCAUCAUCUCUGACCAAAAACAAUGGCUGGUGGUAAGGCCGUACUGAGAAAAAAGAAAAAAAUGUUGAAGCUGAAUAACCCUGAGCUUAAGAUUUGAUUUUGUCAUCUACUGGCUGUGUGAUCCUCAGCAAGUUACCAAGGCUCUCUGACCUGUAGAUACCUCAUAUAUUUAUUUAGGGUAGUAAUGUGGACAGCUAGAUGUUGUUAGGAGGAUUGAGAUAGCACACUUCAAGAAGAGUAUCUUGUACAGAAAAAUACACUCAAAUAAAUAAUAUCUAUUGAUAUUAUCAUUAUCAAGUCAUUAAGUUGUAUUUUUAAAUCAAAUGAACUAAAAUAUAGAAAUAGAUCUAUUACAAAAGAGAAUUAAAAUUUCACACUUAAUACAUGAACAGUCAAUGAAAAAUAGGAUGCACUUGGGUAAACAAUUAAUACUGUUAUACCAUAUAAUUUUGUACCAAUAAUUUGGAAAGACAGUUAAAAUAGUAAUUAAAUUAGUUUUUAUUUAGAUUGCCUUUUGUUUGUUCAGUUAUCAAAAGCUUUAAAAGACUCUGAGUGUUUUCAGAAUGACAUCAGCUAAUAGUCCAGUUAGAAAUUUCGGUAUUCCCUUUCCCUGCUCCCCAAGCUCACUGACCUCAGGUGUUCAUGCAUCUAUUCAGUAAAUAAUUAUUGAGCACUGUUCUUGCUACAAAUAUAAAACUGGGCUUCAUGAAGUUUAUUGAUUGGUGGAGAGAAAGAUAAAAAAGUAACAGUUAACUAUGUAGUUACAAAUAUUGGGAAGUGUUUUGAAAGAAAGUGUGAGAAGUGGGCUUAGUGAAGAAAAAGCCAAUCCCAGAGUGAAUAAUAAGCAGAGUGGCUGAAAAUGAAAUCAAAAUUGUAAAAAUAUUCAAUUAAGUCAGCACUUUAUAGGCCAAAGCAAUUAUUUUUAAUAUGUUUUAUUUUUAAUUAUUAUGGUAUAUAAUAUUUGUAUAUAUUUAUUGGAUACAUGUGAUGUUUUGAUACUGUCAUAUAAUGUGUAAUGAUCAAAUCAGGGUAACUGAACUAUGCAACCCCUCCAGCAUUUAUCAUUUCUUUGUGUUCAGAAUAUUCCAAUUCUACACUUUAAUUAUUUAAAAAUAAACAAUAAAUUAUUGUUUACUAUAA